UUAGUCCUGCUGCCUGGUGCCACUCUCAGUAACAGGAUUUGAUCAGCAACUCUCAGGACAUUCUGGGGUCUGCUAGCUGCUCUCCCAGUGCUCUGGGCCUGGCAGCAGCCCCUCUUUACAUUCUGAAGGUACAAAGGGCUUGUAGAGGACCCAGCCUGAGUAUCUUCACCUGGAUGAGGCUCGUGUGCUACAUGAUCAGAAGGUGCCUCUUCACUCUGGUACCUGAGUGAAAAAAGUCAGCUGCGAUUGGUGUUUUACAGAAAUCAGAAACGUGGGUGCAGGUGGUGGGGACAGGACCAGAAAACAAAACACCAAGCAGAUAGUAAAAAGGUAAACAGUCAAAACUUUGACCUAAUUCAUACAAAUGGAACAUGAAUUGGUUAAAAAAAAAAACAAAUAAAUGAAUGUGUAGGUUUACCAUGAGGAGAAAGUGUCUAUUACUGUGCAAAAAAUGUCAAAUCUUGUGUCUCAACAGUGAAGUUC